GAGUUUGAUCAUGGCUCAGGACGAACGCUGGCGGCGCGCCUAACACAUGCAAGUCGAGGGGCAUCGGGAGGGAAGCUUGCUUUCCUUGCCGGCGACCGGCGCACGGGUGAGUAACACGUAUGCAACCUGCCCUCUUCAGGGGGACAACCUUCCGAAAGGGAGGCUAAUCCCGCGUAUAUCGGUUUCGGGCAUCCGAGAUCGAGGAAAGAUUCAUCGGAAGAGGAUGGGCAUGCGGCGCAUUAGCUUGACGGCGGGGUAACGGCCCACCGUGGCGACGAUGCGUAGGGGUUCUGAGAGGAAGGUCCCCCACACUGGUACUGAGACACGGACCAGACUCCUACGGGAGGCAGCAGUGAGGAAUAUUGGUCAAUGGGAGAGAUCCUGAACCAGCCAAGCCGCGUGAGGGAAGACGGCCCUAUGGGUUGUAAACCUCUUUUGUCGGAGGACAAAACCCGGGACGUGUCCCGGACUGCGUGUAUCCGAAGAAAAAGCAUCGGCUAACUCCGUGCCAGCAGCCGCGGUAAUACGGAGGAUGCGAGCGUUAUCCGGAUUUAUUGGGUUUAAAGGGUGCGUAGGCGGUCCGUUAAGUCAGCGGUAAAAUUGCGGGGCUCAACCCCGUCGAGCCGUUGAAACUGGCAGACUUGAGUUGGCGAGAAGUACGCGGAAUGCGCGGUGUAGCGGUGAAAUGCAUAGAUAUCGCGCAGAACUCCGAUUGCGAAGGCAGCGUACCGGCGCCACACUGACGCUGAGGCACGAAAGCGUGGGGAUCGAACAGGAUUAGAUACCCUGGUAGUCCACGCAGUAAACGAUGAAUGCUGGUUGUCCGGGUCGAAUGAGAUCUGGGCGGCGAAGCGAAAGCGAUAAGCAUUCCACCUGGGGAGUACGCCGGCAACGGUGAAACUCAAAGGAAUUGACGG
rnacentral:rRNA from 1 species